rnacentral:rRNA from 1 species
AACAAACGCUGGCGGCGUGCCUAAUACAUGCAAGUCGAACGGGGAAAGCUUUCGGGUGAGUACUAGUGGCGCACGGGUGAGUAACGCGUGGAUAAUCUGCCCUCGAAUGGGGAAUAACUAGUCGAAAGAUUAGCUAAUACCGCAUAAGACCACGACUACUGAGGUAGUUGGGGUCAAAGGAGCAAUUCGUUUGAGGAUGAGUCCGCGUAAGAUUAGUUAGUUGGUGAGGUAAUGGCUCACCAAGGCGAUGAUCUUUAACUGGUCUGAGAGGAUGAUCAGUCACACUGGAACUGAGACACGGUCCAGACUCCUACGGGAGGCAGCAGUAGGGAAUAUUGGACAAUGGGGGCAACCCUGAUCCGGCGACGCCGCGUGAGCGAUGAAGGCCUUCGGGUCGUAAAGCUCUGUUGUAAGGGAAAAAGUUCUGAUUGUACCUUACGAGAAAGGAUCGGCUAACUUCGUGCCAGCAGCCGCCGUAA